UACAGAGGUGCCGAGCGUUAGGCGGAAUCACUGGGCUUAAAGCGUGUGUAGGCGGCUCGUUAAGUACCUUGUGAAAUCCCACGGCUCAACCGUGGAACGGCUGGGUAUACUGGCGAUCUUGGGCCACUCAGGGGCGAGCGGAACAAGUGGUGGAGCGGUGAAAUGCGUAGAUAUCACGUGGAACGCCAAUGGUGAAAACAGGUAGCUGGGGAUGUGCCGACGCUGAGACACGAAAGCCAGGGGAGCGAACGGG
rnacentral:rRNA from 1 species